rnacentral:rRNA from 1 species
AUUGAACGCUGGCGGCAUGCUUUACACAUGCAAGUCGAACGGUAACAGGCCGCAAGGUGCUGACGAGUGGCGCACGGGUGAGUAAUGCAUCGGAACGUGCCCAGUCGUGGGGGAUAACUACUCGAAAGAGUAGCUAAUACCGCAUACGAUCUAUGGAUGAAAGCGGGGGACCGUAAGGCCUCGCGCGAUUGGAGCGGCCGAUGUCAGAUUAGGUAGUUGGUGGGGUAAGGGCUCACCAAGCCAACGAUCUGUAGCUGGUCUGAGAGGACGACCAGCCACACUGGGACUGAGACACGGCCCAGACUCCUACGGGAGGCAGCAGUGGGGAAUUUUGGACAAUGGGCGCAAGCCUGAUCCAGCAAUGCCGCGUGCAGGAAGAAGGCCUUCGGGUUGUAAACUGCUUUUGUACGGAACGAAACGGCUCUGGUUAAUACCCGGGGCUAAUGACGGUACCGUAAGAAUAAGCACCGGCUAACUACGUG